rnacentral:rRNA from 1 species
AGUGAACGCUGGCGGUAGGCCUAACACAUGCAAGUCGAACGGCAGCACAGUAAGAGCUUGCUCUUACGGGUGGCGAGUGGCGGACGGGUGAGGAAUACAUCGGAAUCUACUUUUUCGUGGGGGAUAACGUAGGGAAACUUACGCUAAUACCGCAUACGACCUACGGGUGAAAGCAGGGGAUCUUCGGACCUUGCGCGGUUGAAUGAGCCGCUGUCGUAUUAGCUAGUUGGCGGGGUAAAGGCCCACCAAGGCGACGAUCCGUAGCUGGUCUGAGAGGAUGAUCAGCCACACUGGAACUGAGACACGGUCCAGAGUCCUACGGGAGGGAGCAGUGGGGAAUAUGGGACAAUGGGCGCAAGCCUGAUCCAGCCAUACCGCGUGGGUGAAGAAGGCCUUCGGGUUGUAAAGACCUUUUGUUGGGAAAGAAAAGCAGCAGGUUAAUACCCCGCUGUUCUGACGGUACCCAAAGAAUAAGCACCGGCUAACUUCGUG